rnacentral:lncRNA from 1 species
AGAUGGAGAUACUCAAAUCUCAAUAUGGAGUGGAAAACAAGCCUGAAGGGAGAAGAGAUGGAUGGAAGCCUGGGAGCAGCAGACUCGAGUUCUACGCUUUCCCUCAGAAAUCCUCCCUGCCCUUGGUAGAACACGUGUGUUUAAGGAGUGGGAGAAGAUAAGACCCGGAGCUCUCAGAGACACAACAGCCAGAAACGUAGGCUUGCUCAUACAGAAUCAGCAAAGGUGAAGGAAGAGAGAGAAGGCCAGGGUAGGAGCAACUCCUUAAACAAUGCCGAGAGGUCAACUGAAUGAACACAAUCUAAGCAAAGACCUCCUGGUGCCUAUAGAAUCCUACUGGCUUCUGUUAAGAUGUCUGAUAGAUGAGCUAUGUGGUAUUUUAAUAGCAUCGUAUUCUGCAUCAUCAGGUAGGAGCUGGUGCUAAUAUUUUACUCCCAGCACUUUCCAACAAUAAAUGUGUGAAUAAGUAAACAGGUAUAUGAAUGAAAUUGUCGAUGGUGAGGGGGUAAAGAGUAGUUUCAGUAGAGAGGUGGGCAUAAAAAUCAAACUCCAAUGUCUAAAAUACAUGAUGGACACACAUAUACAUGUAUACA